AUGACCGGGCUGGGUGGACUCCAAAGCCCUGAAGGAGGCGAAGUUCUGGCCAGUGGGAGCAACCCCCUUCUCCCCCGCGUGGCUCCACCAGCCCACACGAGAAGGAGGCUGGACCCUGGGCCUCCCGAGCAGCUGCAGGUGGGCCUGGGCCGGGUGUGUCGGGAGGGGUUCUUGUGCGGGGCUGCGUCAUGGUGUUAUGUGUUUGGCGGAGGCACGAAAGUGAUCAUCACUGGUAGACCCAAGGCCGCCCCCUCCCGCCCUCCUCUGAGGAGCUCCAAGCCAACAAGGCCACACUGGUAUGUCUGAUCAGUGACUUCUACCCGGGCGCCGUCACCGUGGCCUGGAAGGCAGACAGCAGCCCCGUCACGCAGGGCGUGGAGACCACCCAGCCCUCGAAACAGAGCAACAACAAGUACGCGGCCAGCAGCUACCUGACCCUGUCACCUGAGCAGUGGAAAGGUAGUAGCAGGUUCAGCUGCCUGGUCACCCACGAAGGCAGCACCGUGGAGAAGACAGUGUGCCCUGCAGAGUGUGCUUAGGCCCCCGCACCCCCCACCCUCGGGGGCCUGGAGCUGCAGGAGCCCAGGGAAGGGGUCUCCCCUCCCACCCAGGUCAUCCCAGCCCCUCCCCUGCACC